rnacentral:tRNA from 1 species
GGCCGGAUGGCAGAGUGGCUUAUGCUCGGGCCUGCAAAGCCCGCUACCCCGGUUCGAUUCCGGGUCCGGCCUCCA